AACAGGUUAAGCUGACGAGUGGCGAACGGGUGAGUAAUGUAUCGGAACGUGCCCAGUCGUGGGGGAUAACUGCUCGAAAGAGCAGCUAAUACCGCAUACGACCUGAGGGUGAAAGCGGGGGAUCGCAAGACCUCGCGCGAUUGGAGCGGCCGAUAUCAGAUUAGGUAGUUGGUGGGGUAAAGGCUCACCAAGCCAACGAUCUGUAGCUGGUCUGAGAGGACGACCAGCCACACUGGGACUGAGACACGGCCCAGACUCCUACGGGAGGCAGCAGUGGGGAAUUUUGGACAAUGGGCGCAAGCCUGAUCCAGCCAUGCCGCGUGCGGGAAGAAGGCCUUCGGGUUGUAAACCGCUUUUGUCAGGGAAGAAAAGGUUCUGGCUAAUACCUGGGACUCAUGACGGUACCUGAAGAAUAAGCACCGGCUAACUACGUGCCAGCAGCCGCGGUAAUACGUAGGGUGCAAGCGUUAAUCGGAAUUACUGGGCGUAAAGCGUGCGCAGGCGGUUAUGCAAGACAGAGGUGAAAUCCCCGGGCUCAACCUGGGAACUGCCUUUGUGACUGCAUAGCUAGAGUGCGGCAGAGGGGGAUGGAAUUCCGCGUGUAGCAGUGAAAUGCGUAGAUAUGCGGAGGACACCGAUGGCGAAGGCAAUCCCCUGGGCCUGCACUGACGCUCAUGCACGAAA
rnacentral:rRNA from 1 species